CUUAAAUUGAAGAGUUUGAUCAUGGCUCAGAUUGAACGCUGGCGGCAGGCCUAACACAUGCAAGUCGAGCGGAAAAGAACU
rnacentral:rRNA from 1 species